CAGUCUAUUCAAGGGAGCUAACGUGUAAGAUAUUUUUCUCUUGUUAAGGAUGUGGUCGAGUAUAAUUGCAUGGCUAUUCAGCUCAUAUUUAUUCUCAAUUAAUUGAUUAUGAAUAAUUAAGUUAUAUAUGAAUAAAUUAUAUACAAUGUUAAUAAAUUAUAAACAGUUAAAUAGUACAAGUGAUUUCUUAAAAAAAUUAUAUAUACCACAUUAAUUUUACCUAUAAACCCAAAUCCAAGUCAAUUGAUCUUCCUUUGACAUCCAAGCUAGAUGUGUUAAGUUAAAAAACUUGGUGGUCAAUUACAAAUCAAACCAAGAAGACAACCAUUAAAUAAAAAAAAAAAGCAACCAUAAAGAAUAGGUCCUCCCAUAUCAACUAAGUAGAAUUCACCUGGACAAAACUUCUGAAAAAGCAACCAACUUAACAUUUAUCUUAAAUCCAUAAUACAAUUGACAAUUCCUCCCAUAACACCAAACUCAAAAGCUUUAAGAUUCAACGCACCAAUCAAAAUACAACAACAACUCAACAAUCCAAAUUAAAAAAAGUCAGCAACCAAUCAACCUGUUUCAUGGAACAUACUCAUAGCACAAAGAAAGAGAGCCCAAUAGAUGAAACGCACAAACAAAAUAACUAAAAUAUGGUAAAAUACAUAUUACAACAACUUACAAAAACGAAAACCAGAAGAUAAAGAGAAUGCUAUAAAAAUCAUUUAAAGGCACACAAAAUGAAACAUUUAACUAUAGGAAAAAUGACACUUGACAGACUUUCCAUGGAACAGGCAAUUUACCUGCAAAUGGAAGCAUUAUAAUUAUUAAUUUAAUUGCUAAGAUUUUUUGGUCCUAUCAUUCAAUGAGUUUUAGAUAAUGAUUAAUAAAAAUUAUAAGUUUUCAAUAAUUUGGCUAAUUAUCUUAAUGAGUUGAGUUUGAGCUCACGAGCUUAAUAAAUAAGUUGAGUCCACAAGCUUAAUAAAUGAGCUGAGUUUGCGAGCUUGAUAAACAAGCUACAUGCAAGUUGAGUUCGAGCCUAAUCAAAUUUAGAUGAGUCAAGUUUUAGCUUUAAAUUCAAACUCGAGCUCAGUAAAAAUUUAUCAAGCUAAGCUUAAGCUCUUCAAAGCUCAACUAUUUUACACAUGAGAGGACAUCGAUUUUGAGUCCUGUUAUGUUGAUCUUCAAU
rnacentral:misc_RNA from 1 species